CCUACGGGUGGCAGCAGUGGGGAAUAUUGCACAAUGGUGGAAACCCUGAUGCAGCGACGCCGCGUGAGUGAAGAAGCGCCUCGGCGCGUAAAGCUCUGUCAGCAGGAACGAUAAUGACGGUACCUGAAGAAGAAGCCCCGUCUAACUACGUGCACGCUGCCGCGGUAAUACGUAGGGGGCAAGCGUUAUCCGGAUGUACUGGGUGUUAAGGGAGCGUAUGCGGCUGGGCGAGUCUGGAGUGAAAGGGCGGGGCACAACCCCGGGACCGCUCUGGAAACCGCCCGGCUGGAGUGCGGGAGAGGUAAGCGGAAUGCCGAGUGUAGCGGUGAAAUGCGUAGAUAUUAGGAGGAACUCCAGCGGCGAAGGCGGCUUACUGGACCGUGACUGACGUUGAGGCACGAAAGCGUGGGGAGCAAACAGGAUUAGAUACCCCUGUAGUC
rnacentral:rRNA from 1 species